AGUAACGCGUGGGUAACCUGCCUUAUACUGGGGAGUAACAGCCAGAAAUGACUGCUAAUACCGCAUAAGCGCACAGAACCGCAUGGUUCGGUGUGAAAAACUCCGGUGGUAUAAGAUGGACCCGCGUUGGAUUAGCUAGUUGGCAGGGCAGCGGCCUACCAAGGCGACGAUCCAUAGCCGGCCUGAGAGGGUGAACGGCCACAUUGGGACUGAGACACGGCCCAG
rnacentral:rRNA from 1 species